AGGCCAUGAAUCUGGUCUUGGGACACUGUCAGGUGGGCAGUUUGACUGGGGCGGUCGCCUCCCAAAAGGUAACGGAGGCGCUCAAAGGUUCUCUCAGUACGGUCGGAAAUCGUACGUAGAGUGUAAAGGCAAAAGAGAGCUUGAUUGCAAGACAUACAGGUCGAGCAAGGAUGAAAAUCGGACUUAGUGAUCCGGUGGUUCUGCGUGGAAGGGCCAUCGCUCAACGGAUAAAAGCUACCCUGGGGAUAACAGGCUUAUCUCCCCCAAGAGUCCACAUCGACGGGGAGGUUUGGCACCUCGAUGUCGGCUCAUCACAUCCUGGGGCUGUAGUAGGUCCCAAGGGUUGGGCUGUUCGCCCAUUAAAGUGGUACGCGAGCUGGGUUCAGAACGUCGUGAGACAGUUCGGUCCCUAUCCGUCGCAGGCGUAGGAAAUUUGAGAAGACCUGUCCUUAGUACGAGAGGACCGGGAUGGACGUACCUCUGGUGUACCAGUUGUUCUGCCAAGGGCAUGGCUGGGUAGCUGUGUACGGAAUGGAUAAGCGCUGAAAGCAUCUAAGCGCGAAGCCAACUUCAAGAUAAGAUUUCCCACCGCAAGGGUAAGACCCCAGAAAGACUAUCUGGUUGAUAGGUCGAAGGUGUAAGUGCAGCAAUGUAUUUAGCUUAUCGAUACUAAUAGGUCGAGGACUUGACCAAUAUU
rnacentral:rRNA from 1 species